rnacentral:rRNA from 1 species
UUCGGUACAGUCGGUGACAGGUGGUGCAUUGGUUGUCGUCAGCUCGUGUCGUGAGAUGUUGGGGUUUAAGUCCCCGCAACGAGCGCAACCCCUAUUGUUAGUUGCCAUCAUUCAGUUGGGCACUCUAGCGAGACUGCCGGUAAUAAACCGGAGGGAAGGUGGGGAGUGACGUCAAAUCAUCAUGCCCCUUAUGACCUGGGCUACACACGUGCUACAAUGGUUGGUACAACGAGUUGCGAGUCGGUGACGGCGAGCUAAUCUCUUAAAGCCAAUCUCAGUUCGGAUUGUAGGCUGCAACUCGCCUACAUGAAGUCGGAAUCGCUAGUAAUCGCGGAUCAGCACGCCGCGGUGAAUACGUUCCCGGGCCUU